rnacentral:rRNA from 1 species
CGAAUGUGCCCUUCGGGGGAAAGAUUUAUCGCCAUUGGAGCGGCCCGCGUUUGGAUUAGCUAGUUGGUGGGGUACAGAGCCCACCAAGGCGACGAUCCAUAGCUGGUCUGAGAGGAUGAUCAGCCACACUGGGAUUGAGACACGGCCCAGACUCCUACGGGAGGCAGCAGUAGGGAAUCUUGCGCAAUGGGCGAAAGCCUGACGCAGCCAUGCCGCGUGAAUGAUGAAGGUCUUAGGAUUGUAAAAUUCUUUCACCGGGGAAGAUAAUGACGGUACCCGGAGAAGAAGCCCCGGCUAACUUCGUGCCAGUCAGCCGCGGUAAUACGAAGGGGGCUAGCGUCUGCUCGGAAUUACUGGGCGUAAAGGGCGCGUAGGCGGACAGUUUAGUCAGAGGUGAAAGCCCAUGGGCUCAACCUUGGAAUUGCCUUUGAUACUGUGCUGUCUUGAGUUCGGGAGAG